CUGAAGUUGUAGCUAAACUUGCUUUCAUCUUCAGUUUCUAUCACUAUUUAAAGGUUUUCAUCAUUAUUCAUUUGGUGGCUAAAUAUUACUCAUGGGACGUUUCUAGAGAAUGCAAGACCAUGUUUGAGUGAGAAAUUGGUCUCGAUGAAAUUGAGAGUUCAAUGAACAGCACAUACAAUGCAAGUAAAUCUACCUACUCAAACCCAUCUUCUAUUUCUAAAGCAGAAGGGCUUUCGGUGGCUGAAACAAGUGAGUGAUUAAGUUU